AAGUCGUAACAAGGUUUCCGUAGGUGAACCUGCGGAAGGAUCAUUUCCAAUCCAAAAAACUUAUCAACCCACUGUGUGCACCGUCUUAAUUUUCACCUUUCUGAGAAAUAAGCAUUUUUUUCGAGUGCUUGGAGUAUCAGAAAGUUAAAAAAAAUCUAUUACAUCCUAUUUACACCCCAUGUAGAUCUUAUCGAAAAACACAAGUUUAAUUACAUUAAACAUCUUUUAACGGUGGAUCUCUUGGCUCGU
rnacentral:misc_RNA from 1 species